rnacentral:rRNA from 1 species
ACCUACGGGGGGCAGCAGUGAGGAACAUUGGUCAAUGGGCGGGAGCCUGAACCAGCCAAGCCGCGUGAGGGAAGAAGGUACAGCGUAUCGUAAACCUCUUUUGUCAGGGAACAAAGGCGGGGACUAGUCCCCGGAUGAGGGUACCUGAAGAAAAAGCAUCGGCUAACUCCGUGCCAGCAGCCGCGGUAAUACGGAGGAUGCGAGCGUUAUCCGGAUUUAUUGGGGUUAAAGGGUGCGCAGGCGGCCUGUUAAGUCAGCGGUAAAAGCCCGGGGCUCAACCCCGGCGAGCCGUUGAAACUGGCGGG